rnacentral:tRNA from 1 species
AGGUCCUAUUUGUUAAGACUUUCUUUUUUAGUUCUUUUCAUUGACAUAGAUACAAGUACUCUGCUAGGAUGAUGCAGAGUAAAUGGUCGGGAUAGCUCAG